AUGAACGCUGGCGGUAUGCUUAACACAUGCAAGUCGAACGGUGUCUUCGGACAUAGUGGCGGACGGUUGAUUAACGCGUGAGAAUCUAGCUUUAGGUCUGGGACAACCACUGGAAACGGUGGCUAAUACCGGAUGUGCCCUACGGGGUGAAAGGUUAACUGCCUGAAGAUGAGCUCGCGUCUGAUUAGCUAGUUGGAAGUGUAAUGGACUCCCAAGGCGACGAUCAGUAGCUGGUCUGAGAGGACGAUCAGCCACACCUGGACUGAGACACGGGCCCAGACUCUACGGGAGGCAGCAGUGGGGAAUUUUCCGCAAUGGGCGAAAGCCUGACGGAGCAAUACCGCGUGAGGGAGGAAAGGCUCUUGGGUCGUAAACCUCUUUUCUCAGGGAAGAACACAAUGACGGUACCUGAGGAAUAAGCAUCGGCUAACUCCGUGCCAGCAGCCGCGGUAAUACGGAGGAUGCAAGCGUUAUCCGGAAUGAUUGGGCGUAAAGCGUCCGCAGGUGGCAAUGUAAGUCUGCUGUUAAAGAGUCUAGCUCAACUAGAUAAGAGCAGUGGAAACUACAUAGCUAGAGUACGUUCGGGGCAGAGGGAAUUCCUGGUGUAGCGGUGAAAUGCGUAGAGAUCAGGAAGAACACCAGUGGCGAAGGCGCUCUGCUAGGCCGUAACUGACACUGAGGGACGAAAGCUAGGGGAGCGAAUGGGAUUAGAUACCCCAGUAGUCCUAGCCUAAACCAUGGAUACUAAGCGUGGCUUGUAUCGACCCGAUCCGUGCCGUAGCUAACGCGUUAAGUAUCCCGCCUGGGGAGUACGCCGGCAACGGUGAAACUCAAAGGAAUUGACGGGGGCCCGCACAAGCGGUGGAGUAUGUGGUUUAAUUCGAUGCAACGCGAAGAACCUUACCAAGGCUUGACAUGUCGCGAAUCUUCUUGAAAGGGAAGAGUGCCUUCGGAGCGCGAACACAGGUGGUGCAUGGCUGUCGUCAGCUCGUGUCGUGAGAUGUUGGUUAAGUCCCGCAACGAGCGCAACCCUCGUUUUUAGUUGCCAGCAUUAAGUUGGGCACUCUAAGAGACUGCCGGUGACAAACCGGAGGAAGGUGGGGAUGACGUCAAGUCAGCAUGCCCCUUACGCCUUGGGCUACACACGUACUACAAUGCUCCGGACAGAGGGCAGCAAGCCAGCGAUGGCAAGCAAAUCCCGUAAACCGGAGCUCAGUUCAGAUCGCAGGCUGCAACUCGCCUGCGUGAAGGAGGAAUCGCUAGUAAUUGCAGGUCAGCAUACUGCAGUGAAUUCGUUCCCGGGCCUUGUACACACCGCCCGUCACACCAUGGAAGCUGGUAGUGCCCGAAGUCAUUACUCCAACC
rnacentral:rRNA from 1 species